GAUGAAGAACGUAGCGAAAUGCGAUAAGUAAUGUGAAUUGCAGAAUUCAGUGAAUCAUCGAAUCUUUGAACGCACAUUGCGCCCCUUGGUAUUCCGGGGGGCAUGCCUGUUCGAGCGUCAUUUCAACCCUCAAGCUCUGCUUGGUAUUGGGCACCGUCCUUUGCGGGCGCGCCUCAAAGACCUCGGCGGUGGCGUCUUGCCUCAAGCGUAGUAGAAUACACCUCGCUUCGGAGCGUAAGGCGUCGCCCGCCGGACGAACCUUCUGAACUUUUCUCAAGGUUGACCUCGGAUCAGGUAGGGAUACCCGCUGAACUUAAGCUUAUCAAUAAGCGGAGGA
rnacentral:misc_RNA from 1 species